rnacentral:rRNA from 1 species
AGAUUGAACGCUGGCGGCAGGCCUAACACAUGCAAGUCGAGCGGUAGAGAGGUGCUUGCAUCUCUUGAGAGCGGCGGACGGGUGAGUAAUGCCUAGGAAUCUGCCUAGUGGUGGGGGAUAACGUUCGGAAACGGACGCUAAUACCGCAUACGUCCUACGGGAGAAAGCGGGGGACCUUCGGGCCUCGCGCCAUUAGAUGAGCCUAGGUCGGAUUAGCUAGUUGGUGAGGUAAUGGCUCACCAAGGCGACGAUCCGUAACUGGUCUGAGAGGAUGAUCAGUCACACUGGAACUGAGACACGGUCCAGACUCCUACGGGAGGCAG